CGAGUGGAUCGGGCGGUCGCGUCAGCGGUCUCGGCCGCUGCCGAGGAACGUCCGGACUCCACAGGGCAGGGUGGUUGUUAACGGCAACCCGGGGCGACCCGCGGGACAGUGCCACAGAGAACAGACCGCCAGGCUGGUAGUCCUGGUAAGGGUGAAACGGUGGGGUAAGAGCCCACCAGCAUCCCGGGUGACCGGGAUGGCUAGGUAAACCCCGCCCGGAGCAAGACCAAAAGGGGCCUUCGGGCUCUGCGCAGGUGCACCCGUGCCGAAAAGGCGCGGGAGGAGGGCUGCCCGCCCGAGCCUGCGGGUAGGUCGCUAGAGCGAGUCGGCGACGGCUCGCCGAGAUGGAUGACCGCCUCGUCGUGGGCUUCGGCCCGCGGCGGACAGAAUCCGGCGUAGAGAUCGACUCGUCCG
rnacentral:RNase_P_RNA from 1 species